UUUCACUCUGUCACCCAGGCGGGAGUGCAGUGGCGCGAUCAUAGCGGGGACUACAAGUGUGCACCACAUGCUUGUCUACGAACCUGAAGUAUUCUGAUGCAGUGGAGAGAGUGUAGAACUCUGGAGUGAAGAGAUCUGCCUGGAACCCUGACUCUAUCACUAGGAGAUUCCUUGGAAUGAAACCAAUGGGAGUCCAGGGUUUGGGAGAGUCUCAUCAGAGCAGAUGGGCCAGCAGCAGCCAGAACGCUUGUUGCCUUUGGCUGAGAACACUAUCCUGGAUCUGAAUGUCUUCUUUGUCACUCCAAGAGAUGGCCCUGGGACUGAGAAGUGGAUGGCAGCUGUGACAGCAGGAGAGGACUGCCUGAGGCUCCCCGGGCAGAGGCUCUGGUGCCGGGUUAGCAGCAGGACCGACGGCAGACCCAGCAGCCAGAGAGUGAAAGGUGGGUAAAUUGAGGCCCAAGGAGAGGAAUGGACUUGCUGUGGACAUUCCAAGAGCCCAGAGGCAACUCAGGCCAAGGCGAGUCUGUCUGUUCUGAAUCUCUUAGGUCAGUUCUGAAUCCAAACAGUAACCGGACAAGCCCAUUCUCAGGAGCUCCUCAGCUCCAUUCUGUGGGGGCUUGGUUACCUGUAACAGGGCCUCAACAGGAGGGUCAUAGACUUGCCCAUUGCUUCCAAGCAACAGGGAGCUGGCAUUGCCCUGCCUCCUGUGGGACUCGCAAACAUAAAAUCUCAGGCUCUCUCAUUCUCACAUCUACAUUACAUAGCACUGACUCUGUGCCGGACACUGUUCUUAGUGCUUUGCAAAUAGUAAUUUAUAUAGUCCUCAUUGACUGGGA
rnacentral:lncRNA from 1 species